rnacentral:pre_miRNA from 1 species
UUUCUACUCCCUCCGUCCGAAAAUACUUAUCAUCAAAAUGGAUAAAAAGAGAUGUAUCUAAAACUAAAAUACGUCUAGAUACAUUUCCUUUUAUCCAUUUUGAUGACAAGUAUUUCCGGACGGAGGGAGUAUU